GACGAACGCUGUUUGCGUGCUUAACACAUGCAAGUCGAACGGAAAGGCCCUGCUUUUGUGGGGUGCUCGAGUGGCGAACGGGUGAGUAACACGUGAGUAACCUGCCCUUGACUUUGGGAUAACUUCAGGAAACUGGGGCUAAUACCGGAUAGGAGCUCCUGCUGCAUGGUGGGGGUUGGAAAGUUUCGGCGGUUGGGGAUGGACUCGCGGCUUAUCAGCUUGUUGGUGGGGUAGUGGCUUACCAAGGCUUUGACGGGUAGCCGGCCUGAGAGGGUGACCGGCCACAUUGGGACUGAGAUACGGCCCAGACUCCUACGGGAGGCAGCAGUGGGGAAUAUUGCACAAUGGGCGGAAGCCUGAUGCAGCAACGCCGCGUGCGGGAUGACGGCCUUCGGGUUGUAAACCGCUUUCGCCUGUGACGAAGCGUGAGUGACGGUAAUGGGUAAAGAAGCACCGGCUAACUACGUGCCAGCAGCCGCGGUGAUACGUAGGGUGCGAGCGUUGUCCGGAUUUAUUGGGCGUAAAGGGCUCGUAGGUGGUUGAUCGCGUCGGAAGUGUAAUCUUGGGGCUUAACCCUGAGCGUGCUUUCGAUACGGGUUGACUUGAGGAAGGUAGGGGAGAAUGGAAUUCCUGGUGGAGCGGUGGAAUGCGCAGAUAUCAGGAGGAACACCAGUGGCGAAGGCGGUUCUCUGGGCCUUUCCUGACGCUGAGGAGCGAAAGCGUGGGGAGCGAACAGGCUUAGAUACCCUGGUAGUCCACGCUGUAAACGGUGGGUACUGGGUGUGGGGUCCAUUCCACGGGUUCCGUGCCGUAGCUAACGCUUUAAGUACCCCGCCUGGGGAGUACGGCCGCAAGGCUAAAACUCAAAGGAAUUGACGGGGCCCCGCACAAGCGGCGGAGCAUGCGGAUUAAUUCGAUGCAACGCGUAGAACCUUACCUGGGUUUGACAUGGAUCGGGAGUGCUCAGAGAUGGGUGUGCCUCUUUUGGGGUCGGUUCACAGGUGGUGCAUGGCUGUCGUCAGCUCGUGUCGUGAGAUGUUGGGUUAAGUCCCGCAACGAGCGCAACCCUUGUUCACUGUUGCCAGCACGUUAUGGUGGGGACUCAGUGGAGACCGCCGGGGUCAACUCGGAGGAAGGUGGGGAUGACGUCAAGUCAUCAUGCCCCUUAUGUCCAGGGCUUCACGCAUGCUACAAUGGCUGGUACAGAGAGUGGCGAGCCUGUGAGGGUGAGCGAAUCUCGGAAAGCCGGUCUCAGUUCGGAUUGGGGUCUGCAACUCGACCUCAUGAAGUCGGAGUCGCUAGUAAUCGCAGAUCAGCAACGCUGCGGUGAAUACGUUCCCGGGGCU
rnacentral:rRNA from 1 species